rnacentral:misc_RNA from 1 species
GAAAGAAAUGUUGAAGAUUGUCAUUUUUGCUCAAUAUUUUCCAAGAAUUUUUAGAAUUUAUCCAUUGUACAAAGAAGUAACAAGGACUUCAGGCUUGUUUACUGAAAGUGCAUGGGGUGGAGCUGUUUUCAACCUUUCCCUCUACAUGCUAGCCAGUAACGUAAUUGGAGCCUUGUGGUACUUGUUCUCAGUAGAACGCCAAGAUACAUGCUGGCGCGAUGCGUGUGACAAGAUCUCCGGCUGUUCAUCAAACUACUUAUAUUGUAACAAAAGUUCGAUUGGAAAUGCU